GGCUCAGGAUGAACGCUAGCUACAGGCUUAACACAUGCAAGUCGAGGGGAAACGAUAUUGGAAGCUUGCUUCCGAUAGGCGUCGACCGGCGCACGGGUGAGUAACGCGUAUCCAACCUGCCCAUCACUUGGGGAUAACCUUGCGAAAGUAAGACUAAUACCCAAUGACGUCUCUAGAAGACAUCUGAAAGAGAUUAAAGAUUUAUCGGUGAUGGAUGGGGAUGCGUCUGAUUAGCUUGUUGGCGGGGUAACGGCCCACCAAGGCGACGAUCAGUAGGGGUUCUGAGAGGAAGGUCCCCCCACAUUGGAACUGAGACACGGUCCAAACUCCUACGGGAGGCAGCAGUGAGGAAUAUUGGUCAAUGGACGAGAGUCUGAACCAGCCAAGUAGCGUGCAGGAUGACGGCCCUAUGGGUUGUAAACUGCUUUUAUAAGGGAAUAAAGUGGGAGUCGUGACUCUUUUUGCAUGUACCUUAUGAAUAAGGACCGGCUAAUUCCGUG
rnacentral:rRNA from 1 species